GCUUGCUCACUGACCAGCGUUUUCACUUGCUCUCUGGAUGACAGGACCCCAGGUCACUUCUCCAUCCCCAGGAAGAGUGAGGUGGGCAUCAACCUCAGUAGUGACCACAGGAAGGGUGUGGAAGUGGGACUUGGACAUCAGAGCCUCUCAGAGGCAGGAGGGAGUCCGUCAUGGGUGAGGCAGCGGGUACAGGAUGGUCCGGGGAGGGCGGGAUAAGGGAUUAAUACACCGGCCUGGGACGAGUAGGGUCCUGCCUGACGACAGCUUCCCGAGCCCCCUUGGCGCCCAGGGACGUGAUCAACUGAGUGACAUGAGUGCUCCUGCUUGAUAAGACCUUCAGAGGUCCGCAAAGCUUAGGGACGAGGCACAGGCUUCACAAGCUGAAAGGCUUAAUGCCACCUGGUCCUGCAUAAAGAAGUCACUUAGUCCUCUGUAUCCUCAUUUACACAUCACUGAGUGAAUGAAACCACUAGACUCUGGAAGGUGUGCGACACUGUCACGUUUGCUACUUCCAAGAUUUCGUGUACCUUUAGAAGUCUAUGUGGCUGUGAGCAAGUAGAGAUAAGUCAGGAAAAAAAAGAAGAGCCAGGAGGAACUGUUUCCACUUUGUUCUUCGUGGGUGAUAGGUUUCUGAGGAUUCUGACGGAAAACCCACAUAGCUCCUCUGAAAUCUGCCUCAUACAAACUGUCGCUUCAUGAAAGCUACGAUGCUCGAUCGUGAGCUGAGGUGUUUAACUGGCUGGGCUGAGGGAAAUACAUUUCACUGCAGUUACAGCUAUAAAAGAGCUAAUUUCAGGAUCUCACGAUGCAGAGCAAAUGAGAAAUCUGAACCGAGGCCUGGGAAUAUCUGCUAGCAUGAUUCCCCAAAACAUUCCAUUCUACAGACUCAACAUCCAGAUUUUACCUCCGUAUCAAACAGCGUGAACUUCCUAUUAUUCACGGUGCUGUCUGCACCAAGGUUAGAAAAAGCUUUCAGAGAUCU
rnacentral:lncRNA from 1 species